UUCUACACAAGUCCACCGAGCUCGUACUAAAAUCCCUAGCCGCUAUCAUAGUUAGUUAAUUCGCCAAUUAUUCGCGAAUUAUUCACGAAUUUUUGAAAUGCCGAAUAAAACAGCCGUUUUCAAAUUUUUCCGAAAAAUUCAAAAAAAUUCACUUUUUUUGAGCAAAAAUAAUUAUUCGCGAAUUAAAUAAAUACUGUUCAUGA
rnacentral:lncRNA from 1 species